rnacentral:rRNA from 1 species
UACGAAGGGUGCAAGCGUUAAUCGGAAUUACUGGGCGUAAAGCGCGCGUAGGUGGUUCAGCAAGUUGGAUGUGAAAUCCCCGGGCUCAACCUGGGAACUGCAUCCAAAACUACUGAGCUAGAGUACGGUAGAGGGUGGUGGAAUUUCCUGUGUAGCGGUGAAAUGCGUAGAUAUAGGGAGGAACACCAGUGGCGAAGGCGACCACCUGGACUGAUACUGACACUGAGGUGCGAAAGCGUGGGGAGCAAACAGG